AGUCAAACGCCCAUCAAACUGCAGUUUCGAUUAGCUAGUCUUUUUUCUCCGCGCUGCUUGAUGUUGCUGAUGCACUUCCGUGGGGGCGCUAUGAUGAGCCAAGAAUCAACUAUAAACAUCAUGCAGACGAUGUUUUUGGGGGAAAAUGUUUCAAUGAAUUACACCAAAACGAGCGGGCACAUUUUCGAGGUAAUGUGCUCUCCCCAAAGCGCUACGCAUCCCAGAGAGAGAGAGGAACAUUGGAACAUAUGGAAGAAUGAAGCCUGCCCAAGCUACAUCAGAGAACAUUACUACAUUUCCCAUCAGCGGUUUGAGUGCACCUCCUACUGUAUAUAGAAUGAUGAUUCAACAGGAUCUUAACAAGUAUAACCUCAAGUCAGUUCGUCAUACAGUCACUGCAGGGGAACCUCUGGCAGGGGGAAAUUAUUCAUUGUUUUGGCUAGUUCCACAAGUUUCUUAACACUACUCUUCCAAAUGAGGGAACAUCGUGCUACUUGUAUGCAGUUGGAGCCUGCGUGAUGCAGACGUGAUUAUAUGCGUUUUCUGAGUGCACAUCUCUUUGGUACUAGGCCUGGGUGACUAAUGAAAUUGACUACUCGACUAGUCGCACCUCAACUUGCAACUACGACACAAGUAGUGACUAAUUUUUAAUUUUCAAGAUGCAGUGUGCCAAUGUGUACCAAUAGGCAAAGUAAAAUUUAAGUUUUGGUUGGGGAGGAGUCGAGUGUUACUUUAGUUUUGAAAACUGUAUUCGGUGGUACUACAUCCUUCCUAUCUAGAACUACUUGCUGUUUUUCUUCUUUAUUCGGCAAGGAAGAGGCAUAACACAAAGCUAAUGCAUCCUUGUUUUCCCCCCCCCGUUUUUAAUAAAAAAAAAAAAAAACGUUUUUAUCAAAGUACAUAGAUCCCCUCAGCACCACAAAGUCCUAUACUGCUAGAAGUGCAACCCGAAACAAUUGAAAAGGGAAAGACUAAGCUCAAGUUCCCUUGUGAAUACAUGCAAUUUGUAAUAAAAUGUUAAUUCAAGUAAAUAAAAUACUUGGUAAAGUUUUAAUCAUUUUGGGCUUGAACAAAGCAAAAAUGACUGGAGUGGGAUGUGAACCCUCGUACCGGUACUCUACCAAGUGAGCUAUCCAGUCAUAUUAUGUUGGUGGUCCCCCUAUUAGUAGUUAUCUUUAUUUGGGUGUCAGUCAGAAUUUUUGCCUAACAAUAUUUUAAUUUAUGUGCAUGGUGUUUCCUUAUUCUCUAAAUUUUGAACUUUAAAUUUAAAGUUUAAUUGACUCAGAAUUUACACAAUUAAAAUUCUCACAAUUAAAUGAAAAAAUGUUGUAAUUGCCUGUUAAUACUUUAAAUAAAGAUUUAAACAGAAAAUGCUGUUUAUACAGGAAUUAUGAAUAAUAAAAAAAAAUGAUGGUAACCUUUAAUCUUGCCUGAUAUAAGCAAUUGUUUUGGGGUUCUUUUUUUCUUGGGGGCGUGAUCUGAUAACAACAUUUGUACAGCCAAUUUAUAGUGCAUCGAUCAGAAGCUUUAAUUGCCUAUUUGUCUGAACUUACAGUGAUAAAAAACAUAAACAGUUUUUGAAAAUUGAACAAGAAUAAUGUUUGAACCAAAAAUCAUAACCCUGCAUCAAUUAUUUCAUGACAAAUCACGGCCGCAAUGUAGACGUUGUUGACUGUGUUUGCCUAUUACUGCUGUCUAAAUCAAAGAUUAUAGAGCGCCGCAAGGCGCAAUAUGCGGAACUGAAGCUUUAUCUAUUGUUGGAACGUGAAAUACGCA